GGGUUGUGAGGUUAAGCGACUAAGCGUACACGGUGGAUGCCCUGGCAGUCAGAGGCGAUGAAGGGCGUGCUAAUCUGCGAUAAGCGCCGGUAAGGUGAUAUGAACCGUUAUAACCGGCGAUACCCGAAUGGGGAAACCCAGUGUGAUUCGUCACACUAUCAUUAACUGAAUCCAUAGGUUAAUGAGGCGAACCGGGGGAACUGAAACAUCUAAGUACCCCGAGGAAAAGAAAUCAACCGAGAUUCCCCCAGUAGCGGCGAGCGAACGGGGAGGAGCCCAGAGCCUGAAUCAGCAUGUGUGUUAGUGGAAGCGUCUGGAAAGGCGCGCGAUACAGGGUGACAGCCCCGUACACAAAAGCGCAUGUGCUGUGAGCUCGAUGAGUAGGGCGGGACACGUGGUAUCCUGUCUGAAUAUGGGGGGACCAUCCUCCAAGGCUAAAUACUCCUGACUGACCGAUAGUGAACCAGUACCGUGAGGGAAAGGCGAAAAGAACCCCGGCGAGGGGAGUGAAAAAGAACCUGAAACCGUGUACGUACAAGCAGUGGGAGCCCCACCACUAAGCCAGUGGUGAACUCCACAUCCGCAUCCUUUGCUGAGGAUACGGUUAACGGAGCGAAAGCGACGUUCAACCGCAAAACAAGCAGAGGGGGCUUAGUGGUGGGGUGACUGCGUACCUUUUGUAUAAUGGGUCAGCGACUUAUAUUCUGUAGCAAGGUUAACCGAAUAGGGGAGCCGGAGGGAAACCGAGUCUUAAUUGGGCGUUAAGUUGCAGGGUAUAGACCCGAAACCCGGUGAUCUAGCCAUGGGCAGGUUGAAGGUUGGGUAACACUAACUGGAGGACCGAACCGACUAAUGUUGAAAAAUUAGCGGAUGACCUGUGGCUGGGGGUGAAAGGCCAAUCAAACCGGGAGAUAGCUGGUUCUCCCCGAAAGCUAUUUAGGUAGCGCCUCGUGAAUUCAUCUCCGGGGGUAGAGCACUGUUUCGGCUAGGGGGCCAUCCCGGCUUACCAACCCGAUGCAAACUGCGAAUACCGGAGAAUGUUAUCACGGGAGACACACGGCGGGUGCUAACGUCCGUCGUGAAGAGGGAAACAACCCAGACCGCCAGCUAAGGUCCCAAAGUCAUGGUUAAGUGGGAAACGAUGUGGGAAGGCCCAGACAGCCAGGAUGUUGGCUUAGAAGCAGCCAUCAUUUAAAGAAAGCGUAAUAGCUCACUGGUCGAGUCGGCCUGCGCGGAAGAUGUAACGGGGCUAAACCAUGCACCGAAGCUGCGGCAGCGAACGUAUCACUUAAAGCGAUUCAGCGGGUUACGAUUGACGGAGCGAAGCGACGUCAAAGCGUAUACAAAGUCGAGUCGGUUUAAGGAUACGUUCGUUGGGUAGGGGAGCGUUCUGUAAGCCCGUGAAGGUGGCCUGUGAGGGUUGCUGGAGGUAUCAGAAGUGCGAAUGCUGACAUAAGUAACGAUAAAGCGGGUGAAAAGCCCGCUCGCCGGAAGACCAAGGGUUCCUGUCCAACGUUAAUCGGGGCAGGGUGAGUCGACCCCUAAGGCGAGGCCGAAAGGCGUAGUCGAUGGGAAACGGGUUAAUAUUCCCGUACUUGGUGUUACUGCGAAGGGGGGACGGAGAAGGCUAUGUUGGCCGGGCGACGGUUGUCCCGGUUUAAGCGUGUAGGUGUGUGUUCCAGGUAAAUCCGGUUCACUUUAACACUGAGGCGUGACGACGAGGCACUACGGUGCUGAAGCAACAAAUGCCCUGCUUCCAGGAAAAGCCUCUAAGCAUCAGGUAACAUCAAAUCGUACCCCAAACCGACACAGGUGGUCAGGUAGAGAAUACCAAGGCGCUUGAGAGAACUCGGGUGAAGGAACUAGGCAAAAUGGUGCCGUAACUUCGGGAGAAGGCACGCUGACACGUAGGUGAAGUGAUUUACUCAUGGAGCUGAAGUCAGUCGAAGAUACCAGCUGGCUGCAACUGUUUAUUAAAAACACAGCACUGUGCAAACACGAAAGUGGACGUAUACGGUGUGACGCCUGCCCGGUGCCGGAAGGUUAAUUGAUGGGGUCAGCGCAAGCGAAGCUCCUGAUCGAAGCCCCGGUAAACGGCGGCCGUAACUAUAACGGUCCUAAGGUAGCGAAAUUCCUUGUCGGGUAAGUUCCGACCUGCACGAAUGGCGUAAUGAUGGCGAGGCUGUCUCCACCCGAGACUCAGUGAAAUUGAACUCGCUGUGAAGAUGCAGUGUACCCGCGGCAAGACGGAAAGACCCCGUGAACCUUUACUAUAGCUUGACACUGAACAUUGAGCCUUGAUGUGUAGGAUAGGUGGGAGGCUUUGAAGUGUGGACGCCAGUCUGCAUGGAGCCGACCUUGAAAUACCACCCUUUAAUGUUUGAUGUUCUAACGUGGACCCGUAAUCCGGGUUGCGGACAGUGUCUGGUGGGUAGUUUGACUGGGGCGGUCUCCUCCUAAAGAGUAACGGAGGAGCACGAAGGUUGGCUAAUCUGGUACGCGAGCUGGGUUUAGAACGUCGUGAGACAGUUCGGUCCCUAUCUGCCGUGGGCGCUGGAGAACUGAGGGGGGCUGCUCCUAGUACGAGAGGACCGGAGUGGACGCAUCACUGGUGUUCGGGUUGUCAUGCCAAUGGCACUGCCCGGUAGCUAAAUGCGGAAGAGAUAAGUGCUGAAAGCAUCUAAGCACGAAACUUGCCCCGAGAUGAGUUCUCCCUGAGACUUAGAGUCUCCUGAAGGAGCGUUGAAGACGACGACGUUGAUAGGCCGGGUGUGUAAGCGCAGCGAUGCGUUGAGCUAACCGGUACUAAUGAACCGUGAGGCUUAACCUUACAACGCCGAAG
rnacentral:rRNA from 1 species